rnacentral:rRNA from 1 species
AGAGUUUGAUCCUGGCUCAGAUUGAACGCUGAUGCCUUACACAUGCAAGUCGAACGGCAGCGGACCUUCGGGUGCCGGCGAGUGGCGAACGGGUGAGUAAAGUAUCGGAACGUACCUUUCAGUGGGGGAUAACGUAGCGAAAGUUACGCUAAUACCGCAUAUUCUCUGAGGAGGAAAGCAGGGGACCUCGGGCCUUGCGCUGAUUGAGCGGCCGAUACCAGAUUAGCUAGUUGGUGGGGUAAAGGCCUACCAAGGCGACGAUCUGUAGCGGGUCUGAGAGGAUGAUCCGCCACACUGGAACUGCCUACCAAGGCGACGAUCUGUAGCGGGUCUGAGAGGAUGAUCCGCCACACUGGAACUGCCUACCAAGGCGACGAUCUGUAGCGGGUCUGAGAGGAUGAUCCGCCACACUGGAACUGAACACGGUCCAGACUCCUACGGGAGGCAGCAGUGGGGAAUUUUGGACAAUGGGCGCAAGCCUGAUCCAGCCAUGCCGCGUGAGUGAAGAAGGCCUUCGGGUUGUAAAGCUCUUUCGGCCGGGAAGAAAUCGCAUCGGUUAAUACCCGGUGUGGAUGACGGUACCGGAAUAAGAAGCACCGGCUAACUACGUGCCAGCAGCCGCGGUAAUACGUAGGGUGCGAGCGUUAAUCGGAAUUACUGGGCGUAAAGCGUGCGCAGGCGGUUUUGUAAGACAGGCGUGAAAUCCCCGGGCUCAACCUGGGAACUGCGCUUGUGACUGCAAGGCUAGAGUAUGGCAGAGGGGGGUGGAAUUCCACGUGUAGCAGUGAAAUGCGUAGAGAUGUGGAGGAACACCGAUGGCGAAAGGCAGCCCCCUGGGCCAAUACUGACGCUCAUGCACGAAAGCGUGGGUAGCAAACAGGAUUAGAUACCCUGGUAGUCCACGCCCUAAACGAUGUCAACUAGGUGUUGGGGAGGGUAAAACCUUUUAGUACCGGGAGCUAACGCGUGAAGUUGACCGCCUGGGGGAGUACGGCCGCAAGGUUAAAACUCAAAGGAAUUGACGGGGACCCGCACAAGCGGUGGAUGAUGUGGAUUAAUUCGAUGCAACGGCGAAAA